GAUGAACGCUAGCGGCAGGCUUAAUACAUGCAAGUCGAGGGGCAGCAUGAUUGUAGCAAUACAAUCGAUGGCGACCGGCAAACGGGUGCGGAACACGUACACAACCUUCCUUCAAGCGGGGGAUAGCCCAGAGAAAUUUGGAUUAAUACCCCAUAGGAUGACUGGAUGGCAUCAUUUGGUCAUUAAAGAUUUAUUACUUGAAGAUGGGUGUGCGUCUGAUUAGGUAGUUGGCGGGGUAACGGCCCACCAAGCCGACGAUCAGUAGCUGAUGUGAGAGCAUGAUCAGCCACACGGGCACUGAGACACGGGCCCGACUCCUACGGGAGGCAGCAGUAAGGAAUAUUGGACAAUGGACGCAAGUCUGAUCCAGCCAUGCCGCGUGAAGGAUUAAGGUCCUCUGGAUUGUAAACUUCUUUUAUAUGGGACGAAAAAAGAUCAUUCUUGAUCACUUGACGGUACCAUGUGAAUAAGCACCGGCUAACUCCGUGCCAGCCGCCGCGGUAACAC
rnacentral:rRNA from 1 species